GUAGGGAAUAUUGCGCAAUGGACGAAAGUCUGACGCAGCGACGCCGCGUGAGUGAUGAAGGCCUUAGGGUCGUAAAGCUCUGUUGAAUGGGAAGAAAAAAAUGACGGUACCAUUCGAGGAAGGACCGGCUAACUUCGUGCCAGCAGUCGCGGUAAUACGAGGGGUCCUAGCGUUGUUCGGAAUCAUUGGGCGUAAAGGGUGUGUAGGUGGCCAUGUAAGUCAGGUGUGAAAGCCCCGGGCUCAACCCGGGAAGUGCACUUGAUACUGCGUGGCUUGAGUACCGAAGAGGGUAGUGGAAUUCCAGGUGUAGUGGUGAAAUACGUAGAUAUCUGGAGGAACACCGGUGGCGAAGGCGGCUACCUGGUCGAGUACUGACACUGAGACACGAAAGCAUGGGGAUCAAACAGGAUUAGAAACCCGUGUAGUCC
rnacentral:rRNA from 1 species